rnacentral:rRNA from 1 species
AUUGAACGCUGGCGGCAUGCCUUACACAUGCAAGUCGAACGGCAGCACGGGAGCUUGCUCCUGGUGGCGAGUGGCGAACGGGUGAGUAAUGCAUCGGAACGUGCCCUGAAGUGGGGGAUAACGUAGCGAAAGUUACGCUAAUACCGCAUAUUCUGUGAGCAGGAAAGCAGGGGAUCUUCGGACCUUGCGCUUUUGGAGCGGCCGAUGUCGGAUUAGCUAGUUGGUGGGGUAAAGGCCCACCAAGGCGACGAUCCGUAGCGGGUCUGAGAGGAUGAUCCGCCACACUGGAACUGAGACACGGUCCAGACUCCUACGGGAGGCAGCAGUGGGGAAUUUUGGACAAUGGGCGCAAGCCUGAUCCAGCCAUGCCGCGUGAGUGAAGAAGGCCUUACGGGUU